GGUUGGAAAUCUGUCAAAAAUUUAUGCCGGAAUGAAGUGGUUAGAACACCGUCUGACCGAAUUUUGAAACCCUAAACCCUAAACAUGAUUUUAAACCCUAAACUCUAAAUAUAAAUUUUAAAACUCUAAUCUUUUUAAAAUAUUUCACUGAUACAUAUAAACUUUUGAAUAUAAUUUUUCACAAACCCUAAUUAACUUAUUCUUGAACCCCAAAUUUUAUAUUGUCAAACUCUUUAACAUACCCUAUACCCUAGUAUAUCACUAAGAUUCUUAAAACUUCAUUUUAUAGACAAACAUGGAAAGUUUAAUGAAAAUCUAUAAACAAGAGUAAUACAUCUCAAAAUUCAGAGUUAAACUUAAAUCUUAAACUUAUACUUUAAACCCCCUACU
rnacentral:lncRNA from 1 species